rnacentral:rRNA from 1 species
UAAGCAUAUCAAUAAGCGGAGGAAAAGAAACCAACAGGGAUUGCCCCAGUAACGGCGAGUGAAGCGGCAACAGCUCAAAUUUGAAAUCUGGCGCCCUCGGCGCCCGAGUUGUAAUUUGCAGAGGAUGCCUCGGUGCCCGCCCGGUCUAAGUCCACUGGAACGUGGCGCCUUUGAGGGUAAGAGCCCCGUUCGCGACCGGGACCGGCCACCGUGUGAGGCUCCUUCGACGAGUCGAGUUGUUUGGGAAUGCAGCUCUAAAUGGGAGGUAAAUUUCUUCUAAAGCUAAAUACCGGCCAGAGACCGAUAGCGCACAAGUAGAGUGAUCGAAAGAUGAAAAGCACUUUGAAAAGAGAGUUAAAAAGUACGUGAAAUUGUUGAAAGGGAAGCGCCUGCGACCAGACUCACCGCGGAGGCUCAGCCUGUCUUCUGACUGGUGUAUCCCCCGCGGCGAGGCCAGCAUCGGUUUGGGCGGCUGGGGAAGCGGCCGGGGAACGUAGCUCCUCUCGGGGAGUGUUAUAGCCCCGGUCCCGAUACAGCCCGCCCGGACCGAGGACCGCGUUCGCUAGGAUGCUGGCGUAAUGGUCGUCGGCGGCCCGUCUUGAAACACGGACCAAGGAGUCUAAUAUCUGUGCGAGUGUUAGGGUGUCAAACCCUUACGCGUAAUGAAAGUGAACGGAGGUGGGAGCCCUCGGGCGCACCAUCGACCGAUCCGGAUGUCUUCGGAUGGAUUUGAGUAAGAGCAUAGCUAUUGGGACCCGAAAGAUGGUGAACUAUGCCUGAAUAGGGUGAAGCCAGAGGAAACUCUGGUGGAGGCUCGCAGCGGUUCUGACGUGCAAAUCGAUCGUCAAAUUUGGGCAUAGGGGCGAAAGACUAAUCGAACCAUCUAGUAGCUGGUUCCUGCCGAAGUU